rnacentral:snRNA from 1 species
GUGUUCACUUCAGCAGCACAUAUGCUAAAAUUGGAACACUGCAGGGAAGAUUAGCAUGGCUUCUGUGCAAGGAUGACAUGCAAAUUCAUGUUGUGUUCCAUAUUUUU